GUGGGCGUAGCUCAGCUGGUAGAGCACCGCGUUGUGGUCGCGGUGGUCGCGGGUUCGAGUCCCGUCGCUCACCCCA
rnacentral:tRNA from 1 species